CGGGACGGGAGCGAGCGGGGGAAUCGCCCGCCUCCGCGGCGGCGGAGAAACGCCAGUCAAGUCCCGCCCCCAGAGGGUCGGCCUUUACCUCAGACGCGCGCCGGCGCGUCGGUGCUCGCGUGGCCGGUGCCCGCGUCGCCGUGCGGGGUGAAGCCCCGGGGGCGGCUGGUUCUCGUGGCGGCGGCCCGCCUCCGGGGUCUGCGAGCGCCGGCCCGACGCCCGCGGGCCCGCAGCUGGGGGUUAGAGAAGGGAAGUGACCUGGGGAGGAAGAAGCAGGAGAGAAAAGGGACUUUAGAAAAGGAUGGACUUUCGUAAGAGUUCACGAAACUGGGAGUUUUAUUUAAUCUGCACAAGAACAUCUUGAAACGUAACCAGGAGCAAACAACUCGGGGUUUCAUGAGCCUCUUCGUAUGAGACGAUUUAACAGAAAGGAACAAACGGCUCGCAAAGAACUGGAACUGGAUGAAGACGGUGUAAACAAAGAGCCAAGGAAGCAGUUUUCGGUUGACGUCGGAUGUGAGUGUGUGUCCCGACCUCCUGGCAAUUGUUAAGAGGACGAAACCCGACGUUCUUAUGGUGGCUUUUCCACGUUAGCUGGCCCUGGUGGGUCACUUUGGGCCGUGUAACCAACUGGGUUCUCUGUCCUCCGGCCCCAGGAUAUGAAUGGGGAUGAUGGAUUCCGUGCGUGACUCAAAUCUCAGAUCAGCCCUUUGUUCAGUGGCCACAAGUAAAGACAGCCUGGCCGCAGGUCCUGGGUGCUGCCGUCCAGUAAGCCUCCUAGUCAUCGAACCUUCAGGCAUUAACUUGCUCCCUCCCAUUCAAACCUGAGGUAUGUGGGACAUUUUGAGUCCAGUUAAUCUCACCGUGAUGCACAUCCCUGACAUCUUCAGUCACCAUCCUACACGUCAGCCCCAUGGCCCUCUGUUCUCCUUCCUGCUUUGGGAGUUGUCUCCUGUGACCCAGCCUCAGGCUCCUGUCUUUUCCCCACUUUGCCUGUUUUCCCCUGGAAUCUGUGUCAAACGUUCUAUUAAGUUUAUUCUAAUAAAUUGUAUACAUUUUCUUUUC